GUGGGGAAUUUUGGACAAUGGGGGCAACCCUGAUCCAGCGACGCCGCGUGAAGGAUGAAGGUCUUCGGAUUGUAAACUUCUUUUGAUGGAGAUGAAUGGCCUGGUGAAGAGCCAGGAGUGACAGUAUCCAUCGAAUAAGCCACGGCUAACUACGUGCCAGCAGCCGCGGUAAUACGUAGGUGGCAAGCGAUACUCGGAAUCACUAGGCGUAAAGCGCAGGUAGGCGGUUUGAUAAGUCUGUUGUGAAAGCUCCCGGCUUAACUGGGAGAGGUCAACGGAAACUGUCAGGCUAGAGUGUGGUAGAGGUAGCUGGAAUUCCCGGUGUAGCGGUGAAAUGCGUAGAUAUCGGGAGGAAUACCUAUGGCGAAAGCAGGCUACUGGACCAUCACUGACGCUGAUCUGCGAAAGCUAGGGGAGCAAACAGGAUUAGAAACCCCAGUAGUCC
rnacentral:rRNA from 1 species